CGAUGACUCGGGGAUAGCCUUUCGAAAGAAAGAUUAAUACCCGAUGGCAUAGUUCUUCCGCAUGGUGGAACUAUUAAAGAAUUUCGGUCAUCGAUGGGGAUGCGUUCCAUUAGGUUGUUGGCGGGGUAACGGCCCACCAAGCCUUCGAUGGAUAGGGGUUCUGAGAGGAAGGUCCCCCACAUUGGAACUGAGACACGGUCCAAACUCCUACGGGAGGCAGCAUG
rnacentral:rRNA from 1 species